rnacentral:rRNA from 1 species
GUUCCAGCCGCCGCGGUAAUACGGGGGGAGCAAGCGUUGUUCGGAUUUACUGGGCGUAAAGGGCGCGUAGGCGGCCAGUGCAAGUCAGUUGUGAAAUCUCCGAGCUUAACUCGGAAAGGUCAACUGAUACUGCUCGGCUAGAGUGCGGAAGGGGCAACUGGAAUUCUUGGUGUAGCGGUGAAAUGCGUAGAUAUCAAGAGGAACACCUGCGGCGAAGGCGGGUUGCUGGGCCGACACUGACGCUGAGGCGCGAAAGCUAGGGGAGCGAACGGGAUUAGAAACCCCUGUAGUCC